UCAAAAUCCGGGGGUGGGGGGGGGUACGAGCCGUACUUAUUGCAUUUUUUACUAAACUUAUACUUUAACCCCUCGGUCCAAACUUAUUUGUUUUAUUAGAAAAAAAAAAUACCGUAGCUUUAUGUGCAAAAAUAUCAGUCCUAUUUCUUUACGCUGAUUUUAUAUGAUUUUUUUUCUAUCGAAAUUUUGAGAAUCUCAAUAAUUCUCUUGGUAUACCUCGCGUGUAGCAAACGUGCUCCACAAUUUCGCUUCGCUCGCUUCGCUCGCAAAGCUCAAUUGCUUGGCAAAAAUUGAAGUAAUUUGUACAAUUAUAACGCGCCGAGCUGUGUUUUAUUUUAUUGUUUCUAAGAAGAUGUAAGAAUACAAUAUUAUCAAUUUUAAUUGGUUUUAUCCAAAUCAAGAUUGUGUACAAUGGGAGUGAGUGAUGUAAUCUUCUAAUGCGUGUGGUGAAAAGAAGGCGAAUCCGUUAUUGUUUUUCUGCCCAAAUUUGAAGCUAUUUAAUAAAUCUUGAUAAAGUUAAAAAACUGUUUUGA